rnacentral:rRNA from 1 species
GAACGUCCCGACCAUACUCCGAGAACGUCAGAAACUAAGAUCACGGAAGCGUUUUUUACAAACUGCCACCGACUACGCGAGCAAUGUUCGCUGGUGGACGUCCGUGUUUUUUACUGUGACUAAAGAAGUGCGACCAAGGCAGUCCAUCGACAUGAAUUAGAAAGCAUGGGAUAACAAAGCAGCAGCCUAUGAGCUACCGUUUAGGCUUUUGUUGGUUUUAAAGGUUCGUGGGAGAUUACGGGCGUGUAGGACCGGCGUUGGGGGUUUUCCAAAAUCCCCGCGUCUCCUCCUGGCAUCGGAAACGGUGCUUGCGGGGCCUGCUUCGCUCAGGAAUGAAGGAGGGUUGCUCGGGGGAAAACGUACUUGGGCGUGAGAGGUGAAAUUCUUAGACCGCCCAAAGACGAACUACAGCGAAGGCAUUUUCCAAGGAUACCUUCCUCAAUCAAGAACCAAAGUGUGGGGAUCGAAGAUGAUUAGAGACCAUUGUAGUCCACACCACAAACGAUGACCCCCAUGAAUUGGGGGAGUUUUU